UACGAAGGGGGCUAGCGUUGCUCGGAAUCACUGGGCGUAAAGGGCGCGUAGGCGGCCAUUCAAGUCGGGGGUGAAAGCCUGUGGCUCAACCACAGAAUUGCCUUCGAUACUGUUUGGCUUGAGUUUGGUAGAGGUUGGUGGAACUGCGAGUGUAGAGGUGAAAUUCGUAGAUAUUCGCAAGAACACCAGUGGCGAAGGCGGCCAACUGGACCAAUACUGACGCUGAGGCGCGAAAGCGUGGGGAGCAAACAGG
rnacentral:rRNA from 2 species